GAUGAACGCUGGCGGCGUGCCUAAUACAUGCAAGUCGAGCGAACAGAUGAGGAGCUUGCUCCUCUGACGUUAGCGGCGGACGGGUGAGUAACACGUGGAUAACCUACCUAUAAGACUGGGAUAACUUCGGGAAACCGGAGCUAAUACCGGAUAAUAUAUUGAACCGCAUGGUUCAAUAGUGAAAGACGGUUUUGCUGUCACUUAUAGAUGGAUCCGCGCCGCAUUAGCUAGUUGGUAAGGUAACGGCUUACCAAGGCAACGAUGCGUAGCCGACCUGAGAGGGUGAUCGGCCACACUGGAACUGAGACACGGUCCAGACUCCUACGGGAGGCAGCAGUAGGGAAUCUUCAGCAAUGGGCGAAAGCCUGACGGAGCAACGCCGCGUGAGUGAUGAAGGUCUUCGGAUCGUAAAACUCUGUUAUUAGGGAAGAACAAAUGUGUAAGUAACUAUGCACGUCUGGACGGUACCUAAUCAGAAAGCCACGGCUAACUACGU
rnacentral:rRNA from 1 species